ACCAACCUCUCGCGCGAGGAGUACCUCGAGAAGCGCUCGAUCGCGCAGCCCGACGGCGCCUACGUCCAGUUCGUCAAGCCCCACGGCCCGCUCGAGGACAACCUCCGCCGUCUCGAGCGCAUCGGCGCCUGAGCGACAGUGCAACCUCGUUCUGUAAACUCCAC
rnacentral:misc_RNA from 1 species